UAGAGAUUGUAGCGGCAUCCUUUUUAAAGAAAGCAGCGCGACUAUUUAUAGUUUAGAAACUUCCUGUUUUAAGGUUGCCGCAUCGCCAGCUUCUCGCAAUGACACUUUAAAAAGAUAUAGCGGAAAGCCCGACCACUC
rnacentral:sRNA from 1 species